rnacentral:lncRNA from 1 species
CUAACGGAUAUACUCGAUAUAUGAUGGAUGAGGUGAUUGCGGUGAUUGUUCUUAUAAAUGUCACGUCUUUUGUUAGUUUCAGAAUAAAUAAUUUUGAAAUGUAAUAAAUAUUUCAAAAUAUUAUAUUAUCUCCUAUACGAAUUGUUUAAAUUUAUAUUAAAUUUAGUUUUAUAAUUAUCUUUUAAUUAAUAUUAAUUAUUUAUAAUUUAGUAGGAUAAAGAGGAAAAAACUAAAAAAUAGAUUACUCCAAUGAAUGACAGGUAUCCCCUCGUUGGUUUCUUUAUAAAUACAAAUUAUUAUUUUAAUUUGUGCCUUAACUGUUUUAACUAAACUAAUAAGAGAGUAAUUUCAAAACUAUAAGCAUAAAUUUCUGAACAAUAGAUGAUUAUAUCGCAAAAGUACUAACCUAAUAUAGCUCUUGAUCGCAGAUUAGGGUUUAGGAAUUGAAAAUUGAGUUUAAAACAAAUAAUAAUUUAAGUAGAAACUGAUCGUGAUCAUAUAUUGAUCGUGAAAUUUGUUCAAAAUUCAAGAAAAAAAGGAAAAGAUGAUGUUAAUUUGAAUGAUGAAAUGGGUUUACCGAUGACGAAGAGGAUGAUUACGGAAAGCAACGGUUGUUUAGGUGUUUGAAGUAUCGGCAAAUUAUUCAUGAAAGAUGUGGAGUGCAUCCAUGGGAACUGAAUUUUAUAUAUCACGGAUAUAUUUUGUUCUUGAUCGGUUAUAAAUACUAAAUACUCAUUGGUGGAGGAGGUGGAGAAAUUACGGUUUUGGAUAAUAAGUCUUGUUUUGAAUGAGAUGUGGGUCAUGGAUCUAUACCGUAUGACCCGGUUUCAUAACCCAGUGCCCAUUUAAUUAAAGGAGCUCUCAUUGAGUGACACGUGUCCCAAAGUUGGUUUCUUUUAUUAUAGUAGAUAGAUGAAUAAAUUUGGGCUGAUGUGGUACGAUAUUAGAGGGAAUGCUUUUUGGCGGGAAAAUGAGAUGGAUGUUUACAUUGCUCGCGGAUCCCUUCUUUGAGCAACCCGACCCAAUGAUUCGGACCCUAUAUAUUUAUGUAUUUGAGGACUCUGUUCUUUCUUUCAUCAUUAGCCUCACUGUCUCCGUUCCAAACCCUAAUCUUUAUCCAUUCCAAACCCUUUUCAAUCGUUCAUUCACCUAUUAAUCUCAAACCCUCAACUAUAUCUUUUCACAAUUGCAAAACAUUGCCUCUGCAAUCGUUAACUGCAAUCACAUUGGCGAAUGAUCUGUGGUUAAGAAUUGAAGACAAACGAUCCGAUUGAAGUCUACAUGUUGCGGCUUAUGCUUCUCUCCAAGAGAUCAAUUAGGUUUUUUACAAAGCGGUCAAGUAUAUGAUGGUGCUCAUGCUACCAGGCCUGAACACUUUCUGAAGCACAGUUACAACAGAUGUAGCCAUGUAGGCAUUCCUGGUUUUGUUCUAAACAGAUGCUAAUGGGAGGAGGUGGAUAUUUUUCAGCUGAUGGUUUUGGAAAAUGAAUAUACUCACGCCGUUGUAUGUUUUUUUACACACGUAGCUUCUUCGUACUACAAUUAUCAACAGUAGCUAAUCGCAUGUUUGUAAAAUGUUUUAACAUGCCUUGCUUGAACAUUCAGUGCCUUUGUUUUGCUUUCACGUUAAUAAAACAAGAUUUAAUUAUUUUUUGUGAGCGGAUCAUAAGAUUCUUGAACGAGUACCCCGAAGUUCAACCGUUUUCAUCAUUCGGCUUAAUCUAUAACUGGACUGCCUUAUUUAGAAUCCUUGAUACCAUAAGGUGGAUAGGAUUGCGGUGAUACUUUGCUCUCUACAGGCUCUUUGAAGGCUUUGUUUUCGAUGUAGUUGCGGGCAUUGAACAUGAGUGUUUUGAUUAGAAAACAUGAUAAUGAUUUUGUUAAAAUGUAGUAUUUUAUCAUUCCAUCCAGAGUUCUAGGAAUGUCUAACUUGUAUGUCAAGCCUACUUUGCAUGUUAAGCCUUCUUUGAUGUGGCAGGCAGGUAUCAUCAAGGCCUUAAGAAAUGGGUUUAAGUAGGAAAUUUUGCAGUUGUUGAGAAGUGCUACAAUCAUGAAGCCAAAAUUGAUUGUUAUUGGUACAAUUGCUUAUGCUUGAUUAUAUGUCUAUGCCAGAAUUUUUCAAUCAUCUCUACAAACUUUUGCAUAUGGAAAUGUAAUGCUUGUAGCUGCUUGUGAUCAUGAGAAGGCAUGUUAACCAGGCUAUGAUGAGCUUAUCAAUGCUUCAAAGGGUUCUAUAAACAGGAGAAAGAUGAGAUCGCGAGGGUUGCUAAAGCCAAUCAGUAAAGAAGAAGAUUUAACGUGAAGUCUCACAUGAAUAAAGACCACUCUGAUGAUACAAAAGUCAAUGUUCAAGGCUCCAUAUCAGUUCCGGUGGACUAAGCAUAUAUGAUGGAUCUUGAUAGCCUUAGGUUCAUUGUAAAGAAGUUAUGUUAUGCAGCACAUUCUCGAGCUGCGGAUUCCUUCGGCCGUGUCCACCCUGACCUCUCAAUUUAAGGGUAACAUGUGCAGCUAACAAUUCAAAAAUUCAGCAGCCAUGUGGUAGAGAAAUAUUUAGCUGUAUUAGAAGGCUAAUCAGAUGGAAGAAGAAAAACCGUGCUUUGUUGCAGAUCGCUUAGUGGAAUCGGGGCAAAUUGUUAUCUAGAAUUGGAAGAGGAAGAAACAAAUCACUACUGGGGUUGAACUUACUGAAUGGAACAAUUUAAUGAGGCUGAUGGAUUCAGUUAGUAUAUCGGAUAAAAAGGACACCUGGGAAUGGCAAGGUAACGAAACAGAUGGGUUCUCAGUUAAGGGGAUAAAAAGGAUUUUGCAAGUAUUGAGGGAUGUUAGUUCGCUAUUUGCUCUG